rnacentral:lncRNA from 1 species
UCCUCCCGCGCGGCGCCGAGGGACGGUGUCUCCUUCGCCGGCGCAGGCAACACGAUACAUCAACUCCUCAAGGAUCACGGCCUUCCCGGAGGACUUCUCCCGCGCGGCGUGGAGUCGUACACCCUGGACGAAUCGACCGGCCUACUGGAGGCGCGGCUGUCGGCGCCGUGCUACGCCACGUACGACAACGGCGACCUGGCCUACUUCGACAACGUGGUCCGCGGCAACCUCAGCAAGGGCGCGCUCCGCGGCGUGGAGGGCCUCUCCCAGGAG